GCCACACCCGCUUCCUGUGCGGGGCACGCGGCCGGCGGCGAGCAGAGGGGGCCCCUCCCCCGGCGCGAGCGGGCUGGGCUCUCCCUCUUGGGUCGUCUUCCUCCUUCGCGUGCCCCCUUCCUUGCCCCGCCGGGCGGCGCCCAGCGCGACGGGCCGCUGCGCCCUGCCGGGGCCCCCAGUGAGCCGCCUGCGGACGCGCCCCUCUCCCCUCAGCCGCCUUCCUUCCGCGUCGGCCUGGCCCUGGCGCUCCGCAGCCACGUCGCUCAGGCAUCGGCAGGCCCCUCCCUGGCAAGUUAAAUGCCGGGACCCCUCGCGCUGCCCUUGCUGGCCCCGUGAACCCGCUCCCCUUAUCGCCCGGUUAUUCCUCCCCCAGGCCCGCAGCCGGGCUGGGCACCCACGUGCCGCUCGAGCCCCCCCAGCGAAGAAGCGCCUUGGUGGGGAUCCCGGGAUGGGCAGGCGCUUGGGGCCGGGGGGGCUGCUCUAGCGGGAUCGCCAGGGUGAUUUGUAAAUGAGGAUUGAGAGUGAGUUCAGCUCAGCGGGGGGAGCGGGGGUCAGUAUUUACCUCUAACGAUUGCAAAGGGGCAAAGCCUCUGCUUAACCCUGCUUUGUUCAGCCCGUGUACGGAUUGUUCGAGCAGUGAAAGGGAUUGCGAGGGACAAGGGAUAAUCAGUUUAACGGCCAGAGUUGUUGCUGAAGGGUUUUGCCAACUCCAAGGAUAGAAAUAUAUAUUUAUCUUCAAAGGAAGUGGUUUUGCAUAUUGAUUGAAUAGUCCUUAAUGAUUCUCUUGGGAGACUAGCUGGCAUUGGGUAAACUCCUCUACCCACGCAUCCCUCCAGCUUUGCUAUGGGAUAUAGAGAUGGCUGUAUUUUCAUCUGGGUCCUGACAUACCCACUGACAACGCAAUUUGUUGCAAGGACACGCCUGCUUGAUGGAGGGGAGGGGCGUGCCAAGUAGAGCUGUGUAAGGAUAUUACCUGGUCUCUCUGGACAAACUUCAGCUCUGCUAUUCCCCUAGGUGUUCAGGGGGCUAAUAAAAAUGGCUGCUGGGGAGAUAGGAAGGACUAGGAGAAUGUCUUUGGUCAGGUAUCAGAGUAGCAACCGUGUUAGUCUAUAUCCACAAAAAGAUGAAGUGAGCUGUAGCUCACGAAAGCUUGUGCUCAAAUAAAUUUGUUAGUCUCUAAGGUGCCACAAGUCCUCCUUUUCUUUUUUUGGUCAGAUAGCAUUCUAUCCCCAGGGUCAGGGGAAUGGAUCUAAUCACAGACAGGGAGCUUUUUUUAAUUUCCUUUCUGAUUACGUUAACUAGCUUAACUUGUUAUGAGUACUAACCCUUGAGGGAAUAUACUUUGUUGGCUAUAAGUGUGUAUUCCUUUCCAGUUCCCAUACUAACUAAAUGUAGCCUGGGCUUCCUAAUGCCCCAUACAGGUAUUGUCCUGAACUAAACAGGCAUUGAAUGCUGACUAUGCUAAAUAUUACAGUGCAGCCUUUCUUAUCUGAACUAAUUGGGUCAGUUAUAUCUUUGAAGAUAUUUGAGGAGGAUAGGAAAAAAUAGGGGAUGAAUUCUGGACUGAUCUGCACACAAAAUAAGCACCCACAGAUGGUAAUACUUAUACCAUAAAUAGCCAGUAGUUUGACAGAUUUAUUUGAAAAAAAAUUCCAGAUGCCCAUCUUAUGUGCAAAAUUUCAGACUAUUUUUUCAACAGAGAAGUUGUGAACUCUUGGAGAGAGCGGGUUUAUAAUGGAAAUAAUGGCAGAGCCUUAACUGUAGAGGCACAAACACAGAUCCUUCAUUGAAGUUGAGGUGUUUGAUUCUGCAAUAAUUAAGGGAUGCAUGUCAGUAACUCUAGGCAUGUGCCUGUUAAGAAAAUAGGAAUUUUAAAAAAAUAAAUAAAUAAAGCAAAGCCUUGGUACAUCUUAAUUAUCUUGUCAAUUCAUUUAACCAAGAACUAGGUAUGUAAUAAUACUGCAGUUUGCAGAGCACAAUAGCAUUCAAUGAGAACUUCUUAUGAUUUUUUUGUAAUGCUUAAACAUAUACAAUGGAGAGAAGACAAGAGAGGACUCCAUGAAAGGCUGGACCACUAUAAAAGUGCAUCUAUAAAAACAGUGUCUAGGGUUGAAAUUCAGAGGGCCUCAUCAGGCUUCAUCUUUCAUACUCCCAAAGUACAUGUAAAGGUAUUUGCAGUUACAAAAUUGUAUGUGCAACUGUGAAUGCUUGCAAAAUGUUUACACAUUAUACUCAUAAAUGCUUUUUUGAACACAAUCGGAGGCUGCUGAAAAUGUGGCCUAAACUUGAAGUUUAGAUUGUGCAGCAAAUUUUCAGAAAUGGGAAAUGGAGCAUCACUGAGGUCAGACAGGUCUCUCUGCCAGAUCAAUUUCCCUGGAAUGUAAAGUGCUCUGGAAUUGUGUGCUCUAAAAUUUUAGGACGAACAGCAGCCCAGGAACCCAACAGAAAGGCUGCCAGAUAAGUUGCAUCCCAUAAUAGGAGGCAUGAGUAUGGGGAACUGAAGACUACUGCAGGAAAGAAUUAUAGGAGGCUCAAAGGGGAAGGGAGUCUGACCUCAGGAAGUUUAAAUAUGUGACCAUAAACAUCUCACAAACCAGUCUGAAUCUGAGUCCCAAAAGUCAAGGCUUGUGCAUGUCCCUAAUGUAUUUGUGUUUUGGGGGGUUAGAAUCAGUUCAACCUGUGCUGCUCCUUGUUAUACUUGUGAUCUUUUCACUCCUGCCUUGUUCUCCCUACCCAUUUCUUGCAUCCACCUGUUGUCUCUCAUCGUAUGUUAAAAUUAUAAGCUCUUUGGAACAGAGACUAAACAGAAUUUAUUAGAGCACCUAGCCUUGAUCCCUGAUUUGGGACUCUGAAUGCUACCACAAUACAAAUAAUUAUAUUAAUGUCAAUGAAAUAAACUUAAUUGCUCCUAUUUUGGCCCAAAUUAAGUGCCCAAUCCUACCCCCGCUGAGGUCAGUGGGAGAUUUGUUAUUGACUUCAGUAGGAGUUAGAGUCGGUUGCAAGCUAAUAUAAAAUACACAGUUCGGCACAUUUAUCAUGUUUUCCUUCAAGAAGAGUAGUCUGAAUUAGGUUCUGUGGCCUCUCCCACUAUUAAAAGUAGAGCGGGAUGACCCCAGCAACUGGAGGCCCAUCUCCCUCUGCUCCACAAUGUUCAAGCUAUAUGCUAGCUACCUGGCGUCGAGGAUUACGGAGUGGUUGUUGAGCGGGAGAGCCAUUAGCUCCGUCCAGAAAGGCUUCAUGUCCUGCGAGGGCUGCUACAAACACUUCGUCCUCCAAACCACCAUCCAAACAGCCAGAAGGGUGCAGAGGCAGUGCGCGGUAGCAUGGCUCAACCUGGCUAAUACCUUUGGGUCCAUGCCCCAAUGCCACAUCUUUGCCAUGCUCUAGGAGUUCGGAAUUCCAGAGAACUUUCUUCGUGUGAUCCAAGAGCCGUAUGAGGGAUGCAGCACCACCAUCUGCUUGGGCGAAGGGGAGACCACUGAGAUCCAGAGCGGAGUAAAGCAGGGCUGUGCCCUCAGUCCCAUCAUCUUUAACCUUGCCAUGGAGCCAUUGCUGUGAGCACUCUCCAAAGGCACAGAUAGCUUCAACCUCCACGGUGAGAGGGUGAAUGUCCUGGCUUACGCGGACAACCCAGAGCCUCCAAGGUAUGCUAGACGCCACCAGUCAAGCUGCCAGCUGGGGCUCCACUUCAGUGCAAAGAAGUGCGCAACUCUCCACGUUGACGGCAGCAAAAGGGACUUGGUGCAGGCGACGGGGUUCCAGAUCCAGGGCAAGCCUGUCAUUCGCCUGGCAGAGGAGCAGAUGUACCAGCACCUCGGCACGCUGACGGGUUUCCGUGUCUGGCAGAUACCCGAGGACACCAUCCAGGAGAUCUUGCAGGAUGCCUCCAAGAUCAACAUCUCCCUGCUGGCACAGUGGCAGAAGAUAAACACCCUGAACGCCUUCUUUUGAUCCUCCGCAUCUCAUUCAUCCUAAGGGGAUCUGCCGUGGCGAAGGUGCCCCUCAACAAGACAGAGAAGAUCGUCCGGCAGCUGGUGAAGAAGUGACUGUUCCUUCCCCAGAGAGCCAGCAACGAGCUAGUCUACAUUGCCCCCAAGCAUGGAGGCGCCAUAGUCCCCUGCAUGGGCGACCUGCGCGACGUCGCGGUGAUCACCCACGCCUUCCGCCUGCUGACGUGGCCUGACGCCACGGUAAGGAACAUCAUGGCAAACGCCCUAUGUGACAUGAUAAAGAAGCAGAUCGGCAGAGCCCCCUCCAACCAAGACAUCGCCACCUUCCUGAGCGGCUCCCUGGAUGGCAAAUUCGGGCAGGACGGGGGUGACAUUGCUUCACUGUGGCCCCAUGCUCGCAAUGCCACACAUUGCCUGGGGAAGCAUGUCGGCUGCUGCUGGAAGUGAUGUGAGGAGCAGCAGGAGCUGGGAAUCUUGGCACCACAGGUCAGAUCCAAUGACAACACCAUCGUCUCCCUGAGCACCACGGGCAUACUGGAGAGGACCCUGAAGGCCACCAUCCAUUCGCUGUACGUGGAAACCCUGAAGCGUAAACCACACCAGGGUAAAGCCUUCGAGUUGACCAGUAAGUGGGACGCCAGCAACCACUUCCUUGCCAGGGGCGGCUUCACCCAUUUCGCCGACUGGCGGUUCAUCCAUUAUGCCCGAUUCAACUGCAUCCUGCUUAACGGAGUCGUCCACCAGAGGAACCGAGACAAGCGUUGCAGGAAAUGUGUCUACUCCAACAAGACCCUGCCCCAUGUCCUGUGCAGCUGCAAGCCCCUCUCCAGAGCUUGGCAGCUGUGCCACAACGCCAUCCAGCACAGCCUGGUGAAAGCCAUCGCACCAUGCCUUUGGGAGGUUGCUGUGAACUGCGCCAUCCCCGGUACUGACAGCCAGCUGCGACCUGACGUCGUCGUCACCAACUAAGCCCAGAAAUAGGUCAUCCUCGUCGACAUCACGGUCUCCUUUGAAAACAGGACCCCGGCCUUUCGCAAAGCCCAAGCUCGUAAGAUGGAAAAGUACACUCCUCUAGCCAACACCCUGAGAGUGAAAGGCUACGAGGUGCAGAUGGACACCCUGAUCAUCGGAGCACUGGGCACCUGGAACCCCUGCAACAAGUGUGUGCUGGGGACAUGUGGAAUUGGUCGCUUAUGGGGUGCCUCAUGGUCUCAGACACCAUCCAAUGGUCCAGGGACAUCUACACCAAACACAUCACCAGCCACCAACAGUACCAGGAGGCGUGAGCCAGAGUGACAUCGUGCAUCGACCACAAGAAAGGGACCGAGAGACUUUGUCCAUUGGACCAUAUGAACUGGAACCAUAAACUCACUGAACAUUAAAUCUCACCAAAUGAGGGUCAAUCCAUCCUCAUCAUCGUAUCCACUCGUUAUACUCCACACCUGAACAUAGAUUGCAGAUUAUGUAUUCCUUACGCCAAUCUUAAACCAAACUUCACACUCCUUGAUAAUCUGUACAAUAUUCCCUGAUAACCAGAAACUUCUACGCUUAAACUCUGUACCUUUCACUUUUUUUAAACAUCAUCUUAAUAAAAUUUUAAUUUCUGUA